rnacentral:rRNA from 1 species
AUGUGUUCUCCUGAGCAGCCGGCCAUGCUAUUGCUGUUGGCACUGCUGCUGCUCUGUAACAACGGAAUCAGUGACGUCGAAGGCUCAACGAUCCAUGAGAGUAGCAUCGUCGAUCUGCAUGCGCUGCUCGAUUUCAAGCUGGGCAUCACCAACGAUCCACAAGGAGCCUUGAACAGCUGGAGCAACAACACCCACUUUUGUCGAUGGCGUGGUGUGAACUGCACCACAACAUCACCGUUUCGUGUCACCGAGAUUAACCUCACUAGCCUGGACUUAGCAGGCCAAAUUACCUCCUCUCUUGGAAACAUGACCUUCCUUCGAUCACUCGACCUUGAGUGGAAUAAAUUCGUUGGUCCCAUGCCUAUCCUUGCCCGCCUCCAACAACUGCACACACUUUAUCUAAACAACAACCAUCUACACGGGAUAAUUCCUGAUUCACUUACCAACUGUACCAGCUUGGUCAACUUAGAUCUCUCUGUGAACUUGCUGGUGGGUCAAAUUCCUAUCCUUGGCCACCUCCAACAACUGGAGACACUUUACCUGGACGACAACGAUCUGCAUGGGACAAUUCCCGAUUCAGUCACCAACUGUUCCAGCCUGGCCAACCUAGAUCUCUCUGUAAACUCGCUAGUGGGUGUAAUUCCACCGAAACUAGACUUCAUUUCACAUAUUUUCUACCUAAACCUCUCUGAAAACUCCAUAGCGGGUCCAAUCCCUCCUAAACUAGGUUUCCUUUCAAAUCUGUCCUACUUGGAUCUCUCUGGAAACUUGCUAGUGGGUCAAAUUCCUCCGAAACUAGGCCUCCUUUCAAAUCUGAUCCUCUUGGAUCUCUCCAGAAACAUGGUAGCGGGUCAAAUUCCUCCAAGCUUAGGUUUUCUUCCAAAUCUAGAAUAUAUGUUUCUUCGAUCGAAUCAACUCGAGGGGAGCAUUCCUGGUGAGCUUGGGCAAUUGCAGAAAUUAAAAGAGCUGAUCCUGGGCAGUAACAAGCUUUCAGGUGAAUUCCCACACGCCAUCUUGAACAUUUCAGCUUCUCUCCAAAUUCUAGGCUUGGAGUUUAAUAUGCUAGACAAAGCACUGCCACCUAAAAUUGGAGACUUUCUGCCUAAUCUAAAAGAACUUACCUUGGACAGCAACACGUUUGAGGGUGACAUCCCAGCUUCCCUAGGCAAUGCUACAGGUUUAGAACUGAUAGAUUUAUCAAAUAACAGUUUCACGGGGCAAAUUCCGAUUUCUUUUGGAAAGCUUUCAAAUCUGACACGUCUAAACCUUCAGCUUAACUACCUUGAAACGAGGGAAAGCAGAGACUGGGAAUUCUUAAAUGAACUGAGAAACUGCCGAUCUCUGAAUCUGCUAUCACUAUCUUACAAUCAGCUGCAAGGACAUAUUCUGCAGUUCAUUGGUAACCUAUCACCUAGCCUUGAUACACUUUUCUUAUCUGGAAACAGCUUAUCAGGACAAGUACCCCAAAGUAUCGGAAAUCUUAAUGUCUUAACUAGACUGUCACUAAGUGGAAACGAAUUAAGUGGUACAGUUGAAGGUUGGAUUCGAAACCUCCGGCGGCUCACAAUUUUGGGACUUAGUGACAACAAUUUCCAAGGCGGCAUAACCCAGUUUGCUAACCUUAUUCAUCUCCAAAAGUUGUAUCUGUCAGACAACAAUUUUACUGGUGGAAUACAGUGA